UUGCAGACUCACGAGUUCAAACCAGGACUCUCGCAGCUGCAGCACUUGACAGUGUUGAAGAUGGUUGCUGCCCCUUCAAGAUUGUGUUUGAUGAAGACUUCUAUGUACAUUUCAUUUGUAUUUUGCUUUGCUUUAAGUGUGUCUUAGGUAGUGCUUAGAGGUUGUGAUGGAGGAGGGCCAAGCACACCUACCCAAGGAAGCCAAGGCACAAGCCAAGGAGAGCGUCUAGACCAAGACCAAGACCAAGGUGAGCGUCUAGGACGUGAAGGUGAGCGUCUAGGACGUGAAGGUGAGCGUCUAGGACGUAAAGGAGGGAGGCUAUCCAUGGAGCUAGACCGUCUAGGCCCCCUUACAAGAUCCAUGGCCAAACAUGCUCACACACAAGUAAAUGAAGCCACGGAUGGAAGAGAGAAGGCUUUGUAUAUGUUUGCAUAAAGGCCCAUUAGGGGUACUUAGUAGAUAGGAUAGUGUAGAAAGCACUUUUGAUGGAAACAUUCUAGAAACUAGGGUUGUGUGGCCGGUCAUUGCACAUGGCACAUGGCUUAGCAUUUAGAUUUAAUUUUGGUUUUCUUUUCCUUAGAAGAUAGCUUAACAUUUACGUCCAAGAUAGCUUAUAAAUAGGAAAGCUAUCUCAUUGUAUUUUUCAAGUUUAAUUGAGUAAGGUUAUGCUGCCAUUUUUGUGCACAAACUUUACUUCUCCUAGAAAUCUAGACUCUAAACUUCAAUCCUUUCACCUUCUCCCUUGAGCUGGCCGAACCACUCAAACACCAUACUCAUCAUGCACCUACAAGGCCAACACAACUCCUAGGAGGGUCUUGAUCAUCUCACCCAUUGCUUCUGCACCUUAUUUUCUACUUUGAUUCAAGAAGAACACAUGAAAAUGCCAUCAGGUUGUCUAAUAAGUGUGCUUUUUGCUGAGUAACUCACCUCAUAACCA
rnacentral:lncRNA from 1 species